UACGUAGGGGGCAAGCGUUGUCCGGAUUUAUUGGGCGUAAAGAGCGUGUAGGCGGCCUUACAGGUCAGCUGUGAAAACUCGAGGCUCAACCUCGAGACGUCGGUUGAAACCGUAAGGCUAGAGUCCGGAAGAGGAGAGUGUAAUUCCCGGUGUAGCGGUGAAAUGCGCAGAUAUCAGGAAGAACACCCGUGGCGAAGGCGGUUCUCUGGGACGGUACUGACGCUGAGACGCGAAAGCGUGGGGAGCGAACAGG
rnacentral:rRNA from 1 species